AAAAAAAACAUAGAAUUUCAUCUUCUUCCUCGUGGCUUUACUGUAACUUUAUUUAUAAAAAAAAGCAACUUCCUCGUUUUUGUACCAAAUCAAAUAUGUGAAUAUAACAUCUUGCUUAGAGUUUUAUGAGGAAUCCAAAUAUAACAUUAGUUUUCAUUUAUAUUGACUAUAACUUAUGGAUUUCAAACAAAACCCGAGAAGUCCUAAAAUUUCAAAAUGAAAUUGAAUCGCAUACAAGACGAAUCGAUGUCCAUUUUCAC
rnacentral:lncRNA from 1 species